rnacentral:rRNA from 1 species
AUUGAACGCUGGCGGCAUGCCUUACACAUGCAAGUCGAACGGCAGCACGGGAGCAAUCCUGGUGGCGAGUGGCGAACGGGUGAGUAAUAUAUCGGAACGUGCCCAGUCGUGGGGAUAACGUAGCGAAAGCUACGCUAAUACCGCAUACGAUCUAUGGAUGAAAGCGGGGGAUUCGCAAGAACCUCGCGCGAUUGGAGCGGCUGAUAUCAGAUUAGGUUGUUGGUGAGGUAAAAGCUCACCAAGCCGACGAUCUGUAGCUGGUUUGAGAGAACGACCAGCCACACUGGAACUGGGACACGGUCCAGACUCCUACGGGAGGCAGCAGUGGGAAUUUGGACAAUGGGCGCAAGCCUGAUCCAGCAAUGCCGCGUGCAGGAUGAAGGCCUUCGGUUGUAACUGCUUUGUACGGUAACGAAACGGUGAGCUCUAAUACAG